AGCACACACAGGCAGCUACUUCUGUUUAUUCUUCUAUUAAGAUAAAUGUUUAUCCACAUAGAGGCUUGUUAACAAACUCCUGUGUAUAUCUCUGUGCACCAUCAUAAACCCACUCCAGUGCACUACUUCAGGGACAUCAAUGCUGGCAGGAGGCCAAGACACUGCUAGAGAUCAAUAGGAAGCACUCAGUAUCAGGACUGCUGCACAGCAUGGGUUAUUCUGGCUAGGAUGCUCUUUGCCAGUAUUAAGGUCCAACUAAAGAGUUAAUUCUCUGAGGCUAUUGCAACAUACAUUCUUUAGAAUACCAAGUACCUGUUGCAGUUGUACUGGCUGCCAGUGGCUGGGUGAGAGACAAUUGCAACUAAUGCUGUAAAGUUGCACAUGGGUUUUAAUUAACUAGCUUGGAGACAGCUGUGGAGAAGAGUGGAGUACUGCUUUGUCCAGAUUGAUUCGAGGGCAGAGUAGCCUGGAAGCGGAUUAUAGAGCACUCAUCUGAUCUCUGUUGAGUCCUGAUAAAUUUAUAGUUGUUUAUUUAAUAAGCUAAGUUUUCCCAUCUGCCUUGGGGCUGAACUGAAGGGGGGCUCAGGUGUAAGCAAAAGCAGAAUUUCUGGUCAAAGAAAUGAGUUUAAGAUAAUACAUUAGAAGUUCAUUACUUGUGUAAAAGUGACACCCUCCACUCAGGAAUCAAAGGAGAAGAGCAGAAGUGAUUCAGAAUGAUAAGUGCCAUGUGGUAUGAAAGUCCUUCCAGACAUAUUAGCCAGUUACUCCUCCCAGCCCUGGUACAAAGUAGGCAAGUAUUGCCCUUUGAUGAAGGGGAAACUGAGGCAUAAGUCAGAGAUGGAGCUUAGGAGCCUUUUGCUUUGGCCAUACCUAUGUUUAUGCAUAGACAGAUGGGGUAUUAGAACAGCAGCACCAGAUGAGGAAGAGUUUCACAGUCAAAAUUUAGGAGCAGAUGAUCACAUUUCUCAUGUUUAAAGUAAGGCUGCAGUUUAAGUCUGACAUGAGCAUCACACAAAAAAGCCUUUGCACCACUAGGUCUAAAAAGUCAAGAACUCCCCAACCUCCACCCCUUCUUCCUGUGAAGAAGAGUCCAGCAAUUUUGAAUAAGAUGAAAGAUUCUUGGUAAACUAUUAAUCCAACAGGAAGAUAGCAAAUGGGUUGUGCCCUUUCCUGUAGUAAGCCCCAACUGUUAAAAAUCACACCUUGCUCAUUCUUCAGGAGUCAAUGAUUUACUGGAAGCAGAAGGCAGUACUCCAGAUUCAGUUCUGAACUGCAAUGGAACACUGUUCAGUCUGGCUGGCAGGUCCACCAGGUACUUUUCCAUCCAUCCACUGUUGUAGGGAUUGCAGAGUUACAGGUAUGUUCCAAGCGUGUUUGUGUCCCUGAUUGUCCCCUACUAAUGGCAACCCCAAGGCAAUUUUUUCACCUACCUCCCACCAAGGUACUAGCCAAAUCUACAAACACAACCACAGUGCCACUUUAAGUGGCCAUGUUUUGGAGCAAGUGUGUGGUAGAAUAAUGCUUACAGCAUACUAACAGGACUGGAUCCCAACAGAUUCCUGGCCAACCCUCUUAGUUUGCCCUGAGUGCUGAGCACCUGUCACUCUGACUGAAAUCACCAGGACAGGCAGGGUCAAGUCCAAAGCCGAGAGGACUGAUCUUCUACUGCCUUGACUCUUGGAUUAUCAUUUUUGCCCGAGUAGAGUGGGUGUAACAGUGCCAGGUCAGAAUGGUACCAGGCUGCAUCCACUUUGCACAGGUAUGUCACAAGGGGAACGGCCCAGGAGAAGGGCCUAUGGCUCUGAUGUUCAGUCCUCUAUCAGAUGGGAAAUCAGUGGCAACCCCAAAGGUGUGACACCAGUAACAGAGAAGGGGAGCAUCAGGAAUUCCCUGCGGGCUGUGAGAAGCAACACUGAGGCUCAAUGUAAGCCUAGCAGUUGUGGGUGAUUUUUCUUAAUGAGAUACUGUCAAGAAACAGGAAAAACAUCCAUCAGAACUGACCAGCUCCAGUUUUAUAUUUUCUCACACAAAGAUGUUCAUUAGAGUUGCAUUCUGGGGCUGUCGUUGUGCCCAAUGUUAUAAUGCAGGUACCACCUAGUGGAGCAUAUGGAGGAGGUGCGAGUUGCCCUCUGCAAAGAACAUGGAACUGACUUACCAGAUGAGCUCUACUAGAUUUCUUAUGGGUACAAUCACAGAGGGUUUGUCAUUGGCAUGAAAAAGGAGCAGCUUCCACCACCUGCAAAGAGCAGAGGGAAGGUCUCAUGUCACUGAACAGCACCUCCCAGGGAAAAAUAAUAAGAGGCAGUGACAUGUUUCAUGCUACUACUGGAAAGUACAGGAAAGGAAAAACAAGCAGACUCCACAGAUUUGACUUGACCUGAGCACCAACUAGUUGGUCUUCAAGGAAUUUAUAGUGGUUAACAAUGCAAUAGUUGUAAAUGGGAUCCUUUAAAUGCAGUAGCCUUUAGUAUUCAGAAGGGAGAUACAGGUUAUUCCAGAAGCAAAUGUCUACAGCACCAUUUGUCUUAGGAUAUCCUUCAAGAAUGGCUCAAGGAGAGGCAGAAAUUGUGUAAAUGAUAGGUACAAGAUUCAGACAUCCUGUCCCUGUAGGGCCAAUUACUAUACAACACCUCAAGCCUGGUAAGAACUUGAGAGAAAAGACAGAUGUUACUCUAAAUAGGGUUUUUGUGCAGCCAACAGCUUAGUUUUUAAUUGGUGUUUGGAGGGAGAUAGGUAAGGGUAUUUUUAAAAAUUCACUAGAUCUUUCAAUGUUUUCAUAAAAAUAAGUUUAUCCCGAUGUUUAAAUCUGACCCAGGUUUUUGUACAAGAGAAACAGUUUAAGCGAGGAUAAUCUUAUAGGAUCAUCCAUUCUACACCAGCAUAAUCUGAAAGCUGAUUAGGAAAAACGAUUUCUGAGCAAUGUACAGGAGACUGUCAGCCCUGGCGGGGAGGUGCAGCUAAAAAUAAGAUAGUUUGCUAGAUUCUUCUACUCUGGUGCAUGUCACAUCAUUACUGGAGCAUUUGCCUGCUGGCAGUAGCUAUAUUAUAUGGAAGGGGGAAGCCAGGGAGUCUUCGUUUGCGAUACAUUUUUCUCAGCAUGACAUUGCGGGUGUAAAACGAUAUGAGCUGGUCAUGUUGGCUGAAGGGUUGCAGAUUCCAGUCUCUAAAGCAGAGAAGACAAGAAUGCAACACCAUUCAUUCAGUUAAGGCAUUUCAUCGCCCAAUCAGCUCUCAGUCGCAUUUGUUUUGGGGUUCCUUUCUAGCCAAUGGCUGGAAUAGAUUGAAACAAGAAGGGGAAUUCUGACUGCACCCACUAAGGAGAGGAGCGCUGCUUCCCAAGCCAGUUAGAAAAGCAGCAGCACUGUUUCUGGCAGUGAAGCUACCCCUUCUUCCUUACUUCCUGUAACCCCUCCCAGGGUUCCCAUCCUACAGACCAAGAUAGCAGAGCUGUAACUCCUGCCUUUCCAUCCUUAGGCCUCUCAUGGGCGGAGAUUAAGUGCAUGUAUCCAGAGGUGUCUGAUCUCUUCAUUAUUCCACUGAGGCCCAUUACCCCCAACUCUUAUUCAGACAUCAACGCACAGGCAGUUCUUCAAAGUAGGUUUGCUUUUUAUUUCCACCACCUACUCUAUUGUACUGGAGCACAUCGUGUUCACAUUAUAAAACUAUACAGUCUCAGCAGAGAGCCCCUCCUCCCGCUUGAUGCCAGACUUCAGGCACCAAGGGGAUAAUAUAAACUGGUUUAUAAUUUGAAUUUAUAGCAACGUUUAUUAAAAAAUGAAGUUUAAACAGGCCCUACGGCCUGUUACAGACAGAAACACUUAGACAGAGCAGACUGGAAGUGUAGUGUCGAAGCCACAGACAGCCCUCCUGAAUAAACGCAGUGAAGAAAUAAAUACUGUCUCACAAUCUUAUGAUGUUCCCAAAGCCAGAGUCCACCCCAGCAAAAGCUAAAACCAUGGUCCAGUGGUUAACAGCACAGAACUGGGCAUUAGUCCACAUGGUCCACUAUUCCAACUUUGUGACUUAUAGGGUGACCAGACAGCAAAUGUGAAAAAUCGGGACGGGGGUGGGGGAAUAGGUGCCCAUAUAAGAAAAAAAGACCCCAAAAUAAGGACUGUUCCUAUAAAAUCGGGACAUCUGGUCACCCUAGUGCCUUAGGACUAGUCACUUAACCUCUGGGUCUCAGAUGUAACCACAUGCAGCAUCAGAAGUUGGCAUGGCCAAUUCACAAAUGUUGGUAAAGGGUUUUGAGCUCCUGAAAACUAAAGGUGCCAUAACACUAUUACUGAUGAGUUCAAGGCAGAAUACAAGUCCCAUUGAAAGUGCAGUUCCUGGCUCUGCCAAAUAGUGUCACUCGUUAACUAUCUUUAGAUUAACAUCAGCAAGGACUUUAGAAGAGCUACAGCUUGAAGCUGAGAUCUAGACUCAGAGGGGUCUAGCUUCCCUGCAGAGAUCCAUCAAUACAAAAUUGCUACAUGCAGCGACAGCAUUUUCAGAGCAGCCAAUUGCAUUUGGAAAACUGAAGUUCUGCUUUGCAAGGUUGAUAGCCCAGAACAGGUAUCACAGAGUCCCCUCACACAGUUAAACCCAAAUAUACUAACAGAAGGCUAACUUUGCCAAUCUGAAGCCAAGUUCAGAGAGUACACAGAACAUUAGACACAAACCCAGCGUCUCACUUUGUUACUUUAUUAGAUUACUAUUCACAGAGUGGCUGCCCCACUGAAGACACUUUACAAAAUAUUUCAAAAAAAAAGUUUUAUUCAAAGCCACAUAAAAAUGACAUCCCCACCCCCAACAGACAAAAAUAAGUUGGUUUUAUUUGCCUUAGAAAAAAGAUUACUUCCAAAGGGGGAGAAAAAUCUGACCCUUAAAAGGAAGAACAUGCUUCCUUUAAAUGUUGCAACUGUAAAACACACUUCACUGCUCUCCUUUUAGAGAUCAGUAUUGCACUUACGUAAAGCUACAGUGCACCAUACAGCAAUUGAGAAGCAGCAAACGGCACUGGAAAAAAA